rnacentral:lncRNA from 1 species
AUGGAGUCGUUCUUAACCAAGGUUCCUCACAAAGGUGAAUGAUUUCCUGCUGCAAAGACUGUGAGGCAUCAUUUUUCCAAUUAGAAGUGUUGCUUUGUCAUUGGACUACAUAUAUCUGGAUACCAUAAUGAUAAUGGACUUGCUUCCCUUUUAAUUUCAUGAUUGAGCAUUUAUAUCCUGAGUUAGACCCAGUCUGACAAAGGCACUGACAUGGAGGAGCUCAUGGUCUGAUGGGGAUAACAGGAACUCUGCAUCAAAUCGCUUUCCGUGAAUUUGUUUCCAUGCAGUGGUGUGGAAGAGCAAUUAUAAAAUUAAUUCAGAGCAGGAAUGUUUUAUAUCCUGAAUGAAGAAGAAAGGGGAGAUUGGAGGUGCUACCUUAAUGUGUGCCUGGAUCCAUCAUUCCUGAACAUGCUGCUGUUUUAUUUCAUUCUGAUGUGGUGUUUCUCCCAGCUCCUAAGCUCCUUUUGGCAUAUAUCUUUUUGCAGAACUGGAAAAAAUUUGAAAUGAGAAAAAAUGAGUUGUGGCUGUUUUUUGUUUUGGGUUUUGUUUUGGUAGAAAUGGGGUUUUAGCAUAUUUCCCAAGCUGGUCUGGAGCUCCUGAGCUCAAGGGAGCCGCUGGCCUCAGCCUCCCAAAGUGCUGGGAUUACAGGCAUGAGCCGCCACACCCAGCCUAAGAAAUGGGUUUUGUUUUGAGAUUUCCACAACCACACUAGAAGUGGCUGACAUCCUGGGAGUGAGUGUGGAAACUUCAAGACUGGCUUUUGAGAACCUGAGUCUAGGGCGUGUAUCGGGUGCUUCUUAUGUUUUCGUGCUCACUUGUGUGGGAAGACAAGAUAUGAGACAAAAAGACACACAUAGCUGCAGGCACACACGUACAUGUGUAUACAUAUUGCUGGUUUAGAAGGCCUUGAGCCUUUGGGAUACUGAGGCCAGAGGAUCACUUGAGCCUGGGAGUUUGAAACCAGCUUGCGC